AUUGAACGCUGGCGGCAGGCCUAACACAUGCAAGUCGAACGAGUGGCGGACGGGUGAGUAAUGUCUGGGAAACUGCCUGAGGGAGGGGGAUAACUACUGGCAACGGUAGCUACUACCGCAUACCAUCAGAUGUGCCCCGAUGGGAUUAGCUUGUUGGUGGGGUAAGGGGCCACCAAGGCGACGAUCCCUAGCUGGUCUGAGAGGAUGACCAGCCACACAGGAACUGAGACUCGGUCCAGACUCCUACGGGAGGCAGCAGUGUGGAAUAUUGCACACUGGGCCCAAUCCUGAUGCAGCCAUGCCGCGUGGAUGAAGAAGUCCUGCGGGUUGUAAAGGACUUUCAGCGGGGAGGCGUUACCCGCAGAAGGAGCACCGGCUAACUCCGUGCCAGCCGCCGCGGUAAUUC
rnacentral:rRNA from 1 species